GCUCCUAUAGCUCAAUUGGCAGAGCAACUGACUCUUAAUCAGUAGGUUGAAGGUUCAAGUCCUUCUGGGAGCA
rnacentral:tRNA from 3 species